GUAGAUUUGGGUGAAUAAGUAAACCACUGAUACAAAAAGGAUCAAAGGAGCGAAUGGACUACGUGCUCGACGACGCUAGAACAGAGUCUAACCGUCGUGGAAGCGGAGGAGGAUGUGGUGCAGAGUUGUCAAAUAGAAUUGGAUGAAUGAUAAUAGCGCCUUUCAGUCUGGUAUAAGCAAUAGUGACAACAUCAGCAACUAGUGGUAGUUCUUGGUCAUUGUGCAAGGUGUUUCACAUACCAAGGAGCUCCUGUGUUGAUUUUAAGUACAAACAAUUGUGAACUUGUGUGUAGGUGUAAGCGUAGG